AGUGAACGCUGGCGGUAGGCCUAACACAUGCAAGUCGAACGGCAGCACAGUAAGAGCCUGCUCUUACGGGUGGCGAGUGGCGGACGGGUGAGGAAUACAUCGGAAUCUACUUUUUCGUGGGGGAUAACGUAGGGAAACUUACGCUAAUACCGCAUACGACCUACGGGUGAAAGCAGGGGAUCUUCGGACCUUGCGCGAUUGAAUGAGCCGAUGUCGGAUUAGCUAGUUGGCGGGGUAAAGGCCCACCAAGGCGACGAUCCGUAGCUGGUCUGAGAGGAUGAUCAGCCACACUGGAACUGAGACACGGUCCAGACUCCUACGGGAGGCAGCAGUGGGGAAUAUUGGACAAUGGGCGCAAGCCUGAUCCAGCCAUACCGCGUGGGUGAAGAAGGCCUUCGGGUUGUAAAGCCCUUUUGUUGGGAAAGAAAAGCAGCAGGUUAAUACCCCGCUGUUCUGACGGUACCCAAAGAAUAAGCACCGGCUAACUUCGUGC
rnacentral:rRNA from 1 species